rnacentral:rRNA from 1 species
CCUACGGGUGGCUGCAGUGGGGAAUAUUGGACAAUGGGCGAAAGCCUGAUCCAGCCAUGCCGCGUGUGUGAAGAAGGCCUUCGGGUUGUAAAGCACUUUCAGUGGGGAAGAAAGCCUUGGGGCUAAUACCCUCGAGGAAGGACAUCACCCACAGAAGAAGCACCGGCUAACUCCGUGCCAGCAGCCGCGGUAAUACGGAGGGUGCGAGCGUUAAUCGGAAUUACUGGGCGUAAAGCGCGCGUAGGCGGUCUGAUAAGCCGGUUGUGAAAGCCCCGGGCUCAACCUGGGAACGGCAUCCGGAACUGUCAGGCUAGAGUGCAGGAGAGGAAGGUAGAAUUCCCGGUGUAGCGGUGAAAUGCGUAGAGAUCGGGAGGAAUACCAGUGGCGAAGGCGGCCUUCUGGACUGACACUGACGCUGAGGUGCGAAAGCGUGGGUAGCAAACAGGAUUAGAUACCCAGUAGUC